AGGGUAAAAGGGUAAAAGGGUAAAAGGGUAAAAGGGAAAGGGAUAAAAGGAUAAAGGGUAAAAGGGUAAAAGGGUAAAAGGGUAAAAGGGUAAAAUGAUAAAGGGAUAAAUGGAUAAAGGGUAAUGCUAUUUUUGUCAUUUUUGUUUUUAAGAGCUAUUUUUAUGACAUAAACUUAGAAAUGUCUUAUUUUGAAGAUUUGCCCUUAUGAAAAUUCUGGUAAACCUCUCCAUGAGUUUGAGAAAUUUGAAUUUGAGAAACUUGAGUCUUCUUGGGGCAAUACCUGAUGCAUACCCAACAGGAAUGCUACUUUCUAUGUUAAGCUCAGUAUGGCAUUGGUCAAGUUUAUCAGAUGGAGGAAACCCUAUCACAUCGUCUAAGACAGACGUCUUUUGGGACAUGGACGAUUGCCCUAUCCCUGUUGGUCCCGAUCCUGAUAUGAUUUAUGAAAAUAUCACAUCAGCUCUUAAGGAUAAGGGUUAUCUUGGUGAGGUAUCAAUUAGUACUUAUGGAGAGAUCCAGAUUGAGUUUCAAUCUGCCGGAGUAUAUAUACACAACCUUUUUAUAUACAUAACCACAACGUUAAGUCAAAACCUUAUUCUACACAAGCUACUCAUUCCAUAUGCAUGUCCUAAGAGUCAGGGCAAAGGAUUCAUCUCAUAAAACAUACAAUAAGAAAGUGGAGUAGUUUUGCUCAAAAAAAAAAAAAAGAAAGUGGAGUAGCAGGAACCA